rnacentral:rRNA from 1 species
UACGAAGGGGGCUAGCGUUGCUCGGAAUCACUGGGCGUAAAGCGCACGUAGGCGGAUCUUUAAGUCAGGGGUGAAAUCCUGGAGCUCAACUCCAGAACUGCCUUUGAUACUGAAGAUCUUGAGUUCGGGAGAGGUGAGUGGAACUGCGAGUGUAGAGGUGAAAUUCGUAGAUAUUCGGAAGAACACCAGUGGCGAAGGCGGCUCACUGGCCCGGUACUGACGCUGAGGUGCGAAAGCGUGGGGAGCAAACAGG